UACUUCAAGUGUUUCAGUUGUCAACAUGUCAAAUAGAAUGGUGAUGAAUUUCAUUACAGGUGAUAGAGACUUUCCAGCUAAAGAUCAAAGAGGAUCAAUUGAUGUCGAGAUGCACGAAAUGCAACGGGAAGUUUAUUCAGAAACCUCUAACCAUUGAAGAGGCCAUUGAAGCAGCAAAGGGUUUCCAAAGAAUUCCCAACUGCUUAUUUAACAAGAAUUUGGAAUUCUGGCAGUGCAUGAACUGCCACCAGCUUUAUUGGGAGGGAACUCAGUACCAUAACGCUGUGCAGAAGUUUAUGGAAGUAUGCAAGUUGAAUGAAUGAUUAUUUUUCUUUCAUACUCAUUUUUUGUAUCUUGUCUUUGAACUUUGGUGUCUUGUCUUGUCCCUGAGUAUUGGAACUCACCGUUACAUAUUUGUAAUUUGCACAUUCUUUUGGGUAAUUUGUUUUCUAUUUCCGUAAUAAAUUAUUAGAUUUGGUUGAA